AAAUUAAAACAUAUUCCAUCGCUAACAAACCUACGUUUACAACAAAACACCAAGCUUUAAAUAUUUUCUCGCGAUAAAUACCUGCAAUCGCCAAGGAAGAUGCCAUUUUGUUGCCUUUCUUAUCAGCCAUAUAGAAACCAAACAGCUUCUUUAGUUUCUUCCAUCGAAAACGGUUCCUCCAAUUUCAAAACCAUUUCCUCAUUAAACAUUCUGAACUUCAGAACCAAGUCCAUAUUCCAUCUUCUUGUUGGACAAUCAAAAUAGUUUUUGAAAAAAUUGUACAAACUCUCUUUCAUCUCCUUAGGUUCCUUGUACCAUCGGCCCCCAAUUUUUAGGCUAUACACCAUCUUUCUAUUAGCUUUGAUUUUAACAGCUCUAUGGAAAAAAGCACUGUUGGUAUCCCCUGCUUUUAACUAUGUCAUCCUUGAUUUUUGUCGCCAAAUAGAUUCUUUAAAUUUUAUUGUUUUCCAAAGCUCGAUGUUCAACUUUUUUAACUCAUCCGCUUCCUGCCCAGUCAACAUUCUUUGUUCACUUACUUCAUCUAUCUCCGUUAUCCUAUCUUCUUUUCAAUAAAUAUUUUUUCCAAAAUAUUGCCAGCAUAAAAGAUUCCUAUUCUUACGCAAUUUAACUGCCGUUUGCCCUCUUAAACAACCCAUUCCUGACCAUUCUAUCUCAAUUAAUCUUAUAUAGUCAUCUUUUUGAACCAUGCAUUAAUGAACUUGAAAGGUUUUGGCCCCCAGUCAAUAGAUUCAUUUACCAACAAGACUGGUAUGUGGUCCGAUAUCGAUCUGUUAACCCUUAUCUGUUGUAAGUCCUUCAAACGAACCAGCCAAUCUUCCUCAAGUAAAAAUCAGUUAAGUCUGCUACGUUUACUGUCCAGAUUAAUCCAAGUGAACUUUUUUCCCAAUAGCGGCAGGUCAACCAACUUACAUUUAUAAAAAAACUCACCAAACUCCUUUGACCCCUUUCUCAAAGCCCUAAAAUUAAUUCGUUCACUUCUAUUUCUCACCACGUUAAAAUACUCACCUAUUAUCCAUGCUCUAGUAAAUUGAUUUCUUGACCCGUAUAGCUCUUCCCACAGAAUUUUUUUAUCUGAGAUUUUUGGGAGCAUAUACAUAAUUAGGACUGCCUCUUUCCCUUCAUGCACCCAUUUACCUUCGACUAUAAUAAACCACUUCCCACAAAACUCUACAUCGACCGAAACCAUACCCUUAUCCCAUAUUGUUAAUAAACCUCCUGAUCUUUCUAUUGCAGCAGUGAAUUUAAAAUCAAAACAGUCAUCACUUCAAUCUUUCUAACUAAAUCUAUUGACACAUUUUCUAACUAAGUUUCUUGAAGGAAACAAACAUUAGCCCUAGUCAUUCUCACUAAACUAUUGACAGCAUCAAUUUUAGAUACCGAUCCCAGCCCUCUAAUGUUCUAGGUGACAAUUUGCAUAUUUCCAACCAAAUUGAUCAAUUAAAAAUAAAACCAAUUUAAACAACCACUCACCAGAAUCUCAAAACCCCCUACCCUCUGCCUUUGAUGGCUCCCUAUUGCUUUCCUUCAACCCUCAUUAUCUCUUCGAUAAUUAUCUCCUCAUCACCUUCCACACAAAAUCCCAGUCUUUUUCCCCACCUUCCACGUCUUCUUCACUUCUUUGAAGAUGACUUCCUUCUGUUACUGAUGUCCAAAUUCAAUAAUGACAAAUUUGCUAUGCUUUCGUCGUUCUUGGAAUCCCCAUUUCCUUUCGAUUUUCUAAUUCCCCUGUCCCUCUUCUGCUUCUCUUUCGUUGUAGGCACUAUGUCCUGAAUCUCUUGCAUGGAUCUGAUCUUCUUAUUCAACACUUUCUUGUUUCUUUUGUUCUGUCUUAUUUGAAAAAAUUCCUCUUCAAUUUCUGAUGCUGUAAUCCUAUCCC
rnacentral:lncRNA from 1 species